rnacentral:rRNA from 1 species
GACGAACGCUGGCGGCGUGCCUAAUACAUGCAAGUCGAACGCAGUGGGGACGGGUGAGUAACACGUGGGUAACCUCCCAUCAGUGGGGAGAACACUUGGUAACAGGUGCUAAACCUAUACUGGUGGAUGGACCCACGUUGCAUUAGCUAGUUGGUAAGGUAACGGCCCACCAAGGACACGAUGCAUAGCCGACCUGAGAGGGUGAUCGGCCACACUGGGACUGAGACACGGCCCAGACUCCUACGGGAGGCAGCAGUAGGGAAUCUUCCGCAAUGGACGAAAGUCUGACGGAGCAACGCCGCGUGAGUGAAGAAGGUUUUCGGAUCGUAAAACUCUGUUGUUAGAGAAGCGGUAUCUAACCAGAAAGCCACGGCUAACUACGUGCCAGCAGCCGCGGUAAUUC